rnacentral:rRNA from 1 species
GAUGAACGCUAGCGGCAGGCUUAACACAUGCAAGUCGAACGGCAGCACAGGUAGCAAUACUGGGUGGCGAGUGGCGCACGGGUGCGUAACGCGUAUGCAACCUACCUCUAUCUGGGAGAUAGCCCGAAGAAAUUCGGAUUAAUACCCCAUAAUAUAUGUCUUUCGCAUGUUAGACAUAUUAAAGCUUUGGCGGAUAGAGAUGGGCAUGCGUGACAUUAGCUAGUUGGUAAGGUAACGGCUUACCAAGGCUACGAUGUCUAGGGGGUCUGAGAGGAUUAUCCCCCACACUGGUACUGAGACACGGACCAGACUCCUACGGGAGGCAGCAGUGAGGAAUAUUGGACAAUGGGCGAAAGCCUGAUCCAGCCAUGCCGCGUGCAGGAAGACGGCCCUAUGGGUUGUAAACUGCUUUUAUAUGGGAAUAAACCUCCGAACGUGUUCGGAGC